AUGGCGAAUAGUUGGACUUUGACGGUGAUUGUCCUCCUAAGCAUCUUUAUGGCGAGAAGUCAGACAAGAGGAGAUCAAGACCCUGCAUCUCAACAGAAUAAAGAUUCUGCCAUUAAACAGCUGACAGAUUUCAAAGAGCAGAACUUUAUUCCAGGCAGUGAUGUGAUUUUACAGUGUGGCAAUGCCACUGUUAUCAGAUGGAAUGAAUUAAUUUAUAUUGUCUGGAACAUCAGCCUGGAAGGCAGAAAAUGUUGGCUUGGUUUGUCACCCAAGCUGGACGACACAUGUAAAGAUGGAAAGAGGCUGUUAAACACCUCAGAUGGAGUUUCUUUAGUCAUUCCCAAGAUUUCAACAGAAGAUGAAGGAUUUUAUUCGUGUGAUGUAUCAUAUAAAGCAGGAAGCUAUGCUGUAAAUGUGUCUGUAAGCGUUACCCAACUUUUCACCAAGCAGAGUGAAAACAAUCAGAGGACUCUCUCUUUUAUUAUUUCUAUUUUUUAA
ensembl:lncRNA